AUACGUAAGUCCCAAGCAUUACCCGGAAUCACUGGGUGUAAAGGGUUCGUAGGUGGAAAAAUAAGUUGGAUAUGAAAGACCGAGGCUCAACUUCGUGUUUGUAUUCAAAACUGUUUUUCUAGAAUCAGGGAGAGGUAAGCGGAAUUUUAAGUGUAGGGGUGCAAUCCGUAGAUACUUAAAAGAACACCAAAAGCGAAGGCAGCUUACUGGAACUGUAUUGACACUGAGGAACGAAAGCGUGGGUAGCGAAAAGGAUUAGAAACCCCGGUAGUCC
rnacentral:rRNA from 1 species